AAUAAUCACACUGGUGUCAUAAAGGUGUCAAAACCUGCAAGCCCUCCAGAAUGUUCAUCUUUUCAGCAUCUCUCUCUGAAACAAAGCCCUUGUUUUUCUUCCCGGUGAUCAAUGCGUUCAAUAUCUCCAAUGUCGACAUGGUCUAUGGCCUCGCCAAGAACCUAGCACAAAAAGCCCUUAGAUCUCAUUGGUGAUAGCUUGAUACUUAUCCUUUCCCUUUUCCCAUUCUCCGUCUUUUUUUCGUGGUCGCCAUGGAGAUCAUGAUUUAGUUCUUUUUGUAAGUUACAUGGGGAGUGCUCUUAAAGUGCUAAAUUUAAAGGGAAUCAGCAAGUGAUUUGCUUUGGAGGUUGGUGAACCUAACUAAUAUGCCAUCAUUGAAGCCGAUUUCAACAGUAUUUGUCUUUUGAAUUCACAGUCAAACAACACAACGGCAUCAUUGAAAGGCAGAGGUGGUGGCAGCAGCAGCAACAAGCGACGGAGCGGGAGGAAGCAGAAGGUUUCGUCGAGACAUGAUGUAUCAUCAAGAGAUGCUGAAAUCUCAACAUAGAUCAUCAUAGGUUGAGAUUUUAAUUGAGGUUCAUGUUAGUGUGUUUUCCUUUUUGUCAGGAUUGGUUCCAGUUUGCUGAUAUGAUGAUACCAUUAACCACAAAUGGUUUGGUUGAUAUUGUAUUAGCUUUUUGGUUCCCAAUUUGAAUGAACCUUAAGUUUAUUCAUGUUGUUCUUCUUUUGAAUUCAAGGAUUUAAUUUUAUUUUGCAAUCUCUCAAUCUA